rnacentral:pre_miRNA from 1 species
AGUGGGAUAGCUGGGUCAAAUGGUGGUUCCAUUCCAUGUUUUCAGAAUACUCUCCAUACUGCUUUCCAUAGUGGUUAUACAGUUUGCAGUCCCAACAGCAAU